GGGGAAAAAUUAAUAAAUUAAUAUAAUUAAUAAAAAAAUUUUUAAAAUAUUUAAUGGGGGUUAAAGUAUUUUUAAAGAAAAAAUUAUUUAAUUUAUAGUAAAUUAGUAUUGUAAAAGAAAUUUGAAAUAAAUAAAAAAUUAAUUUAAUUAUAAGUAAUUUUAAUUUAAUGUAUCUUGUGUAUCAGAGUUUAUUAAAAAAAAUUUUUGUAUAAAUAAUUCUCGAAUUUAAAAGAGAUAAUUAAUUAAUAAAGUUAUUGUAGCAUAAAUAUUUUAAAUAAUUAAUUGGAAAUGAAAUGUUAAUCGUUUUUAAAUAUAUCUAGUUUUUUUAGAAAAAAAUUUAAUUUUAAAUUCAUUUUAAAAAUAUUUAAUUAAUUAAAUAUUUUUAAAAUGAAUUUUAUAUUUUAAGGGAUAAGCUUUAAAAUAAAUUAAUAUAAUUAAUUUAAAAAUUAAAAUUGAAAAUUAUAUAAUUUAUAUUGUUAAAAAAAUUUAAUUUAUUAAAAAUAAUUUCAUUAAAAAUAAAAUUUAAAAAAAAUUUAUAUAUUUAUAAAAAAAAAUUAAAAAUUAAAUAAUAAUUAAUAUAAUGAUAAAAUUAGUAUAAAAUAUUAAUAAUAAUUAAAAAAUAUAUUAUUAAAAUUAAUUAAAAGGAAUUCGGCAAAUAUAUAUAUUCACUUGUUUAUCAAAAACAUGUCUUUUUGAAAAUAAUAUAAAGUCUAAUCUGCCCACUGAUUUAUUAUUGAAGGGCUGCAGUAUAUUGACUGUACAAAGGUAGCAUAAUCAUUAGUCAUUUAAUUGAUGACUUGUAUGAAAGAUUGGAUGAAAUAUAAACUGUCUCUUAAUUAAAUUAUAGAAUUUAAUUUUUUAUUUAAAAAGAUAAAAUAAAUUAAAAAGACGAGAAGACCCUAUAGAGUUUUAUAAUUAAUUUAAUUAAAAUUAUUUAUAAAUAAGUUAAUAAAUUAAAAUUAAAUUAAUUAUUUUGUUGGGGUGACAGAAAAAUUAAAAAAACUUUUUUUAUAAGUAAACAAUUAUAAUUGAAUAAAUGAUCCAAUUUUAUUGAUUAUAAGAAAAAAUUACCUUAGGGAUAACAGCGUAAUUUUUUUUUUUAGUUCGAAUAAAAAAAAAAGUUUGCGACCUCGAUGUUGGAUUAAGAUAAAAUUUAAAUGCAGAAGUUUAAAGUUUUUGAUCUGUUCGAUCAUUAAAAUCUUACAUGAUCUGAGUUCAGACCGGUGUGAGCCAGGUUGGUUUCUAUCUUUUAAAAAUUUAAAUAUUUUAGUACGAAAGGAUUAAAUAUUUUAAUUAAAUUUAAUAUUUUGAAUAUCAUUAAAUUAAAAAUAAAUAAAUUAUAAUUAUU
rnacentral:rRNA from 1 species